GAUAUAUGUCUAUGUGGUGUAGUUGGUUAUCACAUCUGUUUAACACACAGUAAGGCUCCAGUUAUAAUCUGGAAAAAAAUAUAUCA